GCUGGGCAUGGUGGCGCAUGCCUGUAAUCCUAGCUACUUGGGAGGCUGAGGCAGGAGAAUCACUUGAAUCCGGGAGACAGAGGUUGCAGUGAGCAGAGAUUAUGCCACUACACUCUAGCCUGGGUGACAGAGUGAGACUCCGUCUCAA
rnacentral:SRP_RNA from 1 species